ensembl:ncRNA C10G6.53 ncRNA
UGAAGGUCAUUUUGAAAAAGAAGAAGAGAAUAUGUGUUUGAUUGUUAUUGUUCGGUUCGGCACCGCAAGAAUGACAGAGAAAAGAGUGGAAAGUAAUCGGGAUCGAAUGGCUAAUUGAGGGAAAUGAUGAGGAGAAGGAAU